UUUAUAUUUUAACAUAUUUGUUUAUAAAUCUUACCUUGAAAUAUAUGAUAUGCACUAAGAAAAAUCUAAAGAAUAAAGAAAAUUUAUAGUCAGUUAGAUCCAAAAGUCACAACUUUUAAUUUGUGGCUUGAUUUUUAGAUCUGAUACUCCUCUAGCAUUGAAAGUUCUGAUCAAAUAAUUUAAAAAUAUUAUUCACCUUCUGUUGUGGAAAAAUUUAGAACAAAGAAAGAGAAUCCCAAUCCAGAUCAUGGUUUCGGUUGGAUCAUAAGUCGAAUCUAACAUCUCGGAUC
rnacentral:lncRNA from 1 species